GACUGAUGUCAAGGGUUAGUGCGAGGUAACGAAUCAAUAACCCUUGAAUUGUGAAGAUGCAGUCUUUUUUAAUCAUGGCAUGUCAUUACCUUGAAAUUGUACUGCCGACGUCAGGGUGGAAAUUUGGUACACAUCGACAAUGCACAAGAAAACGAUUGGUUAUCUUUAAAGUACAGAACAGGUUGACUAUCAUAAUUACCAAACAGAAGUGGGGUGAUACUCAGAACAAACUCUUGUGUAUCAAAUUAGUUGAGAGAUGUAAACACCAUAUGCAGUAUCCACAUGGAUUGGAAUUACCGACCAGGCAAUGGAAGGUGUGUCGAGGUCAGUAACUACUGGAGAGAGAAUGCCAUACACCAACUGGGGAGGACCCCCAGACAAUUACAGAGGAAAUCAACAUUGCAGAACGUUGAACUAUGGAGGUAGAGGCCGCUGGGAUGACGAUACCUACUCUAAGAAAUUUACCUUCAUCUGCGAAGUUUCAGGUUACUGAUACGGAAUAGAGGGAUGCCUUGCAGCCAUUUAGCAAUGUCUGUGCAUAAUAAAAUGAUCAUUGUAAUAUG